GCGCGCGUAGGCGGUUUAUUUAAGUGAGGUGUGAAAUCCCCUGGGGCUCAACCUAGGAACUGCAUUUCAAACUGGAUAACUUGAGUAUGUCAGAGGGUAUUGGAAUUCCCGUGUAGCAGUGAAAUGCGUAGAUAUGGGAAGGAACAUCAGUGGCGAAGGCGAAUACCUGGGAUAAUACUGACGCUUCGAGGUGCGAAAGCGUGGGGACGCAAACGGGAUUAGAUACCCUGGUAG
rnacentral:rRNA from 1 species